rnacentral:rRNA from 1 species
UACGUAGGGUGCAAGCGUUAAUCGGAAUUACUGGGCGUAAAGCGUGCGCAGGCGGCUUUGCAAGACAGAUGUGAAAUCCCCGGGCUCAACCUGGGAACUGCAUUUGUGACUGCAAGGCUAGAGUACGGUAGAGGGGGAUGGAAUUCCGCGUGUAGCAGUGAAAUGCGUAGAUAUGCGGAGGAACACCGAUGGCGAAGGCAAUCCCCUGGACCUGUACUGACGCUGAGGCACGAAAGCGUGGGGAGCGAACAGG